UCAUUUCAUUUUAUUUCUAAACUUUUAUACAUUCUCAUUCAUCUUCAGAGGAAAAGUCUCUCUACAAGCUUUCUUAUGUCUUAAAUUCAGCCCGUCGCCGCUUUGUCUGCUUUUUUCUUCUCUGUAUUUUCACAACAUGGAAGGAAGUGUGCUGCAUAUGGACUCUGCUCGCUCUCUUCUCUGCAUGCUGACCACUUGGAACUUCAACAUCAAAGCACAAACGCUACCAGAUCACAUCACAGCCGGCUCAAAUAUGUCCCGCCACCAGGAGACCAGGACCAGGCACCGGCCGGCACACCGCUCCAACUCCGGCUCUUCACUCCUUGCGCUCACAUGUCCAUCACGCCGGAAGCUGGCGGCCACCCAUCACAAAAGAAGGAUCACGGCGCAGUCGACAGGCCUCAGCUCUGACCGCCGCCUGGAACACACACAUCACCUGGAACCCUCCACCUCCUCUUUGGCGCUCCGCCCUCCCGCGUCCAACUGACCGGACCGGACGCCGCGGGACGCACAUCUGCUGGUGACUAUUGCUUAUAUACAUAUCACCACAUUGAUUAGAUCUUGUGUUUAACUGAGUUCCCCUCUUAAGAUACACACCCAAUUAAAACUCAUCCUUCACAACAGGCCUCUGUUUGUUUCAGCAGCUGGAAACA